UACGUAGGGUGCGAGCGUUGUCCGGAAUUAUUGGGCGUAAAGAGCUCGUAGGCGGUGUGUCACGUCGGCCGUGAAAACCUGCAGCUUAACUGUGGGCGUGCGGUCGAUACGGGCAUCACUGGAGUUCGGCAGGGGAGACUGGAAUUCCUGGUGUAGCGGUGAAAUGCGCAGAUAUCAGGAGGAACACCGGUGGCGAAGGCGGGUCUCUGGGCCGAUACUGACGCUGAGGAGCGAAAGCGUGAGGAGCAAACAGG
rnacentral:rRNA from 1 species